rnacentral:RNase_P_RNA from 1 species
GCGGAUGGCCGGAUAAUCGCCGCUUCCCUUAUGGGGAGGGGAGGAAAGUCCGGACUCCCUUGAGCAACGGUGCCGGGUAACGCCCGGCGGGGGCAACCCCAGGGACAGCGCCACAGAGAACAGACCGCCCCGCACGUCGGGGUAAGGGUGAAACGGUGGGGUAAGAGCCCACCGCGGGACGGGCAACCGGACCGGCACGGCAAGCCCCACCGGGAGCAAUGCCAAAUAGGGGUUUCGCGCGGGGUCGGGUGCGCAAGCAGACCGCCCGCAGGGUCGCUCAAGCCCGAGAAACCCGGGUUGGCAGCUUGAGCCGUCUGGCAACAGGCGGCCUAGAGGAAUGGUUAUCGAAGGGGCGCAAGCCUCGGAACAGAAUCCGGCUUACAGGCCGUCCGCGUCG